CUCGGGCUUAGAACUGUGGCUUCAGAUGUUGGUGAUCUUUCUUACAGACAGGACCCCGUCCACCCUGCUUGUUGAAGGAUCUCAGUGACAGUGACAGUGAGAACAGAGACCUUAAGAAGAAAGUACUUGAAAAGGAGACCUAUAUCCAAGAACUUUCAUGUCUGUUUCAUAAUGAAAAGGAAAGUGCUUUGAAAGCAAACCGGUUUUCUCAGUCUGUCAAGGUAGUACACGAUCGCCUACAGCUCCAAAUUCAGAAGAGGGAGGUGGAGAAUGAAAGGUUAAAAGAACACAUACAGGUCAUGAGUAUUCAUUUUUAUAGCUAAGUACAAAAAGUAAGGAAAAACUCACUGUGACAGCAUUGCUGAACUGUGGAAUGGGGUGAUAAUAAACGAUGGUAGUUUUGGCA
rnacentral:lncRNA from 1 species